UACGUAGGGGGCAAGCGUUGUCCGGAAUCAUUGGGCGUAAAGCGCGCGUAGGCGGCCAGAUUAGUCCGGUGUGAAAGUCAGAGGCUCAACCUUUGAAUGCCGCUGGAAACUGUCUGGCUUGAGUCCGGAAGGGGCGAGUGGAAUUCCUGGUGUAGCGGUGAAAUGCGCAGAUAUCAGGAGGAACACCGGUGGCGAAGGCGGGUCUCUGGGCAGUAACUGACGCUGAGGAGCGAAAGCGUGGGGAGCGAACAUG
rnacentral:rRNA from 1 species